ACGGAAGGCAGCAGUGGGGAAUAUUGCACAAUGGGGGAAACCCUGAUGCAGCGACGCCGCGUGAGUGAAGAAGUAUUUCGGUAUGUAAAGCUCUAUCAGCAGGAAAGAAAAUGACGGUACCUGACUAAGAAGCCCCGGCUAACUACGUGCCAGCAGCCGCGGUAAUACGUAGGGGGCAAGCGUUAUCCGGAUUUACUGGGUGUAAAGGGAGCGUAGACGGCUUUGCAAGUCUGAAGUGAAAGCCCGGGGCUCAACCCCGGAACCGCUUUGGAAACUGUAGAGCUAGAGUGCAGGAGAGGUAAGUGGAAUUCCUAGUGUAGCGGUGAAAUGCGUAGAUAUUAGGAGGAACACCAGUGGCGAAGGCGGCUUACUGGACUGUAACUGACGUUGAGGCUCGAAGGCGUGGGGAGCAAACAGGAUUAGAUACCCUGGUA
rnacentral:rRNA from 1 species